UGGGGAAUAUUGGACAAUGGGCGCAAGCCUGAUCCAGCCAUGCCGCGUGGGAGAUGAAGGCCUUAGGGUUGUAAAGCCCUUUCGGCGGGGAAGAUAAUGACGGUACCCGCAGAAGAAGCGCCGGCUAACUUCGUGCCAGCAGCCGCGGUAAUACGAAGGGGGCUAGCGUUGCUCGGAAUUACUGGGCGUAGAGCGCACGUAGGCGGCUUGUUAAGUCGGGGGUGAAAUCCCGGAGCUCAACUCCGGAACUGCCUUCGAUACUGGCAAGCUCGAGUCCGGGAGAGGUGAGUGGAACUGCGAGUGUAGAGGUGAA
rnacentral:rRNA from 1 species